rnacentral:rRNA from 1 species
UACAGAGGGGGCAAGCGUUGUUCGGAAUUACUGGGCGUAAAGCGCGCGUAGGCGGCCAGAUAAGUCCGGUGUGAAAGUCACAGGCUCAACCUGUGAAUGCCGCUGGAAACUGUCUGGCUAGAGUCCGGAAGGGGCGAGUGGAAUUCCUGGUGUAGCGGUGAAAUGCGCAGAUAUCAGGAAGAACACCAAUGGCGAAGGCAGCUCGCUGGGACGGUACUGACGCUGAGGCGCGACAGCGUGGGGAGCAAACAGG